CUUUAAUUCUUUCUUUCAAAUAUAUCAUUAAAGAAAAAAACUAAAAAAAUAAAUGACUAUCACAUUCUAGAAACCAGAGCGGAAGACGAGGGCUUGUGCGGGGAAGAUCAACAGUGGGCAUGCCGUCAGCCAACGCACCUGCAGACGACUUGACGCAUUAGGCGAGGUUGCCCGGGGGAUAGGUCGCCGGCGGGCUGUCCUCCCAGGCGACCUCGUUGGGGGCAUCCGACGCCCCCGACGAUGUCGUAGGGUGGUCCGUGGACUGCGGGCCGCCCUGCCGCGGAUCUGUCCUUCCCCCUCCUCUCCGAUUCUCUUCGAUUCUUAAAGAGAGAAUUAGGGGGCGUAUUGACGGUGAAGGCACCCCCGCCGAACACUCCCCCCACCCCCCAAGGCGACCUCAGUGGGUCGAGCCCUUUAUGAGGCUUUCUCGUUCCUGAGCCUCUCGUCUCUCUCCCGCUCUCUGUGUUUUCACUGUCCACUCUCUCUUGUACAAUCGCACAACGACAGAAAGAAAGGAAAAAAAAUGAUGAGGAGGAGCUGAGGUGUGAAAGGAGGGAAUCCACCGAACAGGCGAGGCCCCAUUUUUUAUUCUUCCUUGGGAUUCAAUUGGGGGGCAGUUUUAUGAUGUCGAGAUAAUUAACUGCUCAAUCCCUAUCCCUUGAGGAAUUCGCAUGCAAGGUUUUCUCAAAUCUCUCCCUUUUAGCAUCACAAUCGCUUUUGUUUUCUUCGAUUCAUAACUAGCUGUUCAACUCUACUGAUUAGAAGUUUAGCUCACCUUUGUUAGCUAUACUUAACUCUUGCUGCUGUUGAGUUGAAGAGGCUCAAGUAAAUCCCAUACAAUGUAAGAAUUUGAAGUUGCCAUGUGGGGAUUUGAGAACCCAUUGGUUGCUUUUCUGGGGAUUUUGAUUGUCCAUGCAUUGAAUCUCUCAAUCGAUUGAUGGUCUGAAGAAAUGGCACACAUCGAACAAGCAAAAUUCGGGGGCAAUAGGGGGAAUACAAGGACGCUGCGUACGUGACCAUCAAUGAAGUGGAGCCUGGAGGGGAGGGGAGGGGUGGGUGGGGACGCUUGGAAAGCCUCCAAUGAGGUUGCUUGGAAGGCCGGUGAUUGGCGGGAGCCCCCACCGUCGAUUUUCUUCAUGCACCUUGUCUGUCUCUGUAAUUUCCAGAAUCGGGAUUUCUUUUAAUAAUAUAUUUGAAAGAAAGAAUUAGGAAAAAAAAAAGGAAAAAACAAUAUAACGAAGGGAGAUAGAGAGAAAUCACCAAGGCAGUAGCCCAAUUGGUAACGGAUUUCGUCUUCCAAAUGAAAGGUCAAAAGGUCGAAACUCGAUUUAAACACGAAGGCGCUAGCGUUAGUAGACUCUUGUCCUCUAUCCUAUGAGAACUGUUCUGUUCUACUGUGCGCUUUGAUGGGAUCAUGGUGAGUUAUGUCUUAUCGAGCUCUUUAUUUAUUCGGGUGAAUGAAACAUUUUAUGGUGGCUGUGGAGCUCCUCUAAUCUCUAGAGAAAAUUGUUACAUUGAUCUCCUCCUCUUGGUCUUUUAUUUAGCAAAAAAAAAGGGGGGAGAUAGAGAGAAAGAAAGAAUAAAAGUCCAGGAAUUAAUAAAAUAAUGUCACUUCAUUAUUGUCUAUCCAGUUUUUAACGGUAGAGUGACAGGGGGGUCAUUGUAAUGUAUAUUUAUUUGGUCAAGGGCAAAUGGGACGUAAAAAAAUGGCUCGAGAUAACUUUGAUGAAA